rnacentral:rRNA from 1 species
UACGAAGGGGGCUAGCGUUGCUCGGAAUUACUGGGCGUAAAGGGCGCGUAGGCGGAUAUUUAAGUUGGGGGUGAAAUCCCGGGGCUCAACCUCGGAAUUGCCUUCAAAACUGGAUAUCUUGAGUUCGGGAGAGGUGAGUGGAACUCCGAGUGUAGAGGUGAAAUUCGUAGAUAUUCGGAAGAACACCAGUGGCGAAGGCGACUCACUGGCCCGGAUACUGACGCUGAGGCGCGAAAGCGUGGGGAGCAAACAGGAUUGAGAAACCCU